rnacentral:rRNA from 1 species
AUUGAACGCUGGCGGCAGGCCUAACACAUGCAAGUCGAACGAGUGGCGGACGGGUGAGUAAUGUCUGGGAAACUGCCCGAUGGAGGGGGAUAACUACUGGAAACGGUAGCUAAUACCGCAUACCAUCAGAUGUGCCCAGAUGGGAUUAGCUGGUUGGUGGGGUAACGGCUCACCAAGGCGACGAUCCCGAGCUGGUCUGAGAGGGUGACCAGCAACACUGGAACGCGUACACGGGCCAGACUCCUACGGGAGGCAGCAGUGGGGAAUAUUGCACAGUGGGGGCAAGCCUGAUGCAGCAAUGCCGCGUGUAUGAAGAGGGCCUUCGGGUUGUAAAGUACUUUCAGCGGGGAGGCGUUACCCGCAGAAGAAGCACCGGCUAACUCCGUGCCAGCAGCCGCGGUAAUUC